rnacentral:rRNA from 1 species
GUGAACGCUGGCGGUAGGCCUAACACCUGCCAGUCGCACGGCAGCACAGUAAGAGCUUGCUCUUACGGGUGGCGAGUGGCGGACGGGUGAGGAAUACAUCGGAAUCUACUUUUUCGUGGGGGAUAACGUAGGGAAACUUACGCUAAUACCGCAUACGACCUACGGGUGAAAGCAGGGGAUCUUCGGACCUUGCGCGAUUGAAUGAGCCGAUGUCGGAUUAGCUGGUUGGCGGGGUAAAGGCCCACCAAGGCGACGAUCCGUAGCUGGUCUGAGAGGAUGAUCAGCCACACUGGAACUGAGACACGGUCCAGACUCCUACGGGAGGCAGCAGUGGGGAAUAUUGGACAAUGGGCGCAAGCCUGAUCCAGCCAUACCGCGUGGGUGAAGAAGGCCUUCGGGUUGUAAAGCCCUUUUGUUGGGAAAGAAAAGCAGCAGGUUAAUACCCCGCUGUUCUGACGGUACCCAAAGAAUAAGCACCGGCUAACUUCGUG